UCGGUGCAGAGCCCCAGGCACCACUGCAGUUCAUGAAUGUGCUGGUCCGUCUGCUGACUCACCUGGUUGAAGGAUGGCAGCAACCUCACUUCAGCCUCUCUGGAUCCCACCCUUUACCUUCUCUGAGGCCAGGCCCGGCAAGUGGGCAGCUGUGCCCAAGGACAAAGCCUUCUGUUCAGUCACAAUGUCAGAGUUAGAUGCACCGACAGAGCUGGAUUCCAGAUUGUCCUCAUGGGGUACAGUGUCCUGUGGAUCAAGUUUAUUCAUGCUUCUCUUCACUUUGUGUUUAGACUUUUUUUUUCCCCAAAUGCCUGUCUUUCUGACUCAUUGUGACAUCAAGCCCAUCACAAGGAGAGAGGCAACAGCGUUCAGGACACUUCUUCCUGGUCCUUGGAAUGAACUGGAAUAUGAAGGAUGCAAAGCAUCAGUUUAUGCAGAGCUGACCUCCUUCAAAACUUCACUUGAACAAGGCUAAGUGCACUUCUUUUUUUGAGAAAUAUUUACAUUCUGAAAAGAAAGAGAACAAAUGAAGUAUAUUUUAAACCAAGCAUGGAAACAUUAAAAAUCACAAAGGCCUCCACAUGAAGCAAAAUACUUUCUUGUGGUUAAGCAAUAUAGUACUAUUUGAAAAAUAUAUAUCUCAUUAAGAUCCAGCCAUGAAAGGGAGAACAAAAGAGGAAAAUGCCUUGAACAGAAUAACUCUCAACAGAUGGAUAUUGAUUACUAGAGAGCCAGUGAACAACACACCAGGCAGCAAAAGCAGCUCUCCUACGGCCAUGUCACGUGCACGGCUGAAAUGCAAGAUCUCGGAAGCUGCAGCAGAUCAGCUGAAGCUGAGUGCAGGUGAAAGACACUCUUACUGAAGUGCCGUCAUUAGCCCUGUUACAACCUAGAAGCUAAAGGCCGGGUCAGGCCUCGGCAUAUGGACAACACUAUAAGAAGGACUAAGACACAAUCUCUCUCAUGUGUGGAAAACAGUAAAGAUAAGCAGGCCGCCUCUAAGAGAAGUGAGUUUGCUUUAUCUCGGCCUGUGCUCUGAAGUCCGAGAGGUUGUCUGAGGGGGAGAAAUGCCCAGGGCGGUGCAGGCACAAGGGCACGGGGUGGAAACCCCCAAACCCUCUCCUCCUUCAACCAGAGAAACUCUAGCUAAUGUCUUUUAUGUGUUUGGUUUCUCUAAAGAUUUUGUUUGAAGAAAGGCUUCAGAGGCUAGGUUUGUUUUUUUCUUUCUUUGAGAGCACUCGUGUAGACAGCAUAAUGCCCGGAAACCUAUUCAAAACAUUAAAACGUAAACAGGUAAUAUUUUCUAACCUCUUUACAUCUUACACAACUGGGACCAUGAAUCUUAGGAGAGGCAAAUUGAGGAGACACAGGGGGAGAGUCAUUCCUCACAUCCUUGCGCUGCGUAUGCAAGUGUACUUCUAAAAUGUUUACAACUUUGUACGAAAGAAGACAAAAGUUGCUAUUAACUUGCAGAACUUUCUUUCCCCAGAAAGUAGAAAAUGAUAUUCAGAAUCAUAAAAAUAAAC
rnacentral:lncRNA from 1 species